ACCCUUUGGUUCCUUUUCCUAUUAGAUCUGAAUGCUGGUCUUGGUAGUCCUAAAAGGAAGGAAGGUGAUCACAGCACUGCAGUCUGUACUAGAGCAUGUGGGCCAGUUUCAAACAGAA
rnacentral:snoRNA from 1 species